rnacentral:rRNA from 1 species
UCGAGGAUCUUCGGCAAUGCGCGCAAGCGCGACCGAGCGACGCCGCGUGGGCGACGAAGGCCUUCGGGUUGUAAAGCACUGUCGAGGGGGAGGAAAGCCGAAAGGCUUGACCCAUCCCUGGAGGAAGCACGGGCUAAGUUCGUGCCAGCAGCCGCGGUAAGACGAACCGUGCGAACGUUGUUCGGAAUCACUGGGCUUAAAGGGCGCGUAGGCGGGCUGCCAAGUCCGUGGUGAAAUCCCCCGGCUCAACCGGGGAACGGCCUCGGAUACUGGCGGCCUGGAGGCGGGUAGGGGCAAGCGGAACUGUGGGUGGAGCGGUGAAAUGCGUUGAGAUCCACAGGAACUCCGGUGGCGAAGGCGGCUUGCUGGACCCGAUCUGACGCUGAGGCGCGAAAGCCAGGGGAGCGAACGGGAUUAGAUACCCCGGUAGUCC